rnacentral:tRNA from 2 species
GUGGCUAUGUCAGAAGCAUAUGAGUUAGCUUUAAGCGCUAAUUAUGGGGAUACUCCCCUAGUCACU